AUUGAAUGUGUGUGUGUGUUUUAGCAGGGCCAUGGGCCUUCAAUGAGUGUGUGUGUGUGUUUUAGCAGGGCCAUGGGCCUUCAAUGUGUGUGUGUGUGUGUGUGUGUU